rnacentral:lncRNA from 1 species
UUUUAAUCUCAAGGUAACAAACAAAACAAAAACCUGAUGACUUUUGUCACACUGUCGCCGCGUGUAUGUCACAUUUUUUAAGCGAUAUUGUCGUGUUUUCGUCUCUUUUUUGUCGUGUUUUUGUUGCAUUUUCUCAUGUUUUGAUUGUGCUAUUGUGGCUAAAGUUUUGUCACUUAUUUGACCCGUUUUCUGCGCUAUUUGUGCUUUUUUUUCACAAAGCUUUUAGAUUUGGUUAAAGCUAAACUGGAGAAAAUGUGCUCGCUCAGUGACAACAGGGAGAGGACUCGGAAGAGAACUUCAAAGGCACUGAGACUGGCUUUACAAAAAGACCCAGUGGUUUGGGAGAGCAACUUCGUCAUCACACACCACAGUGAGCACAGUGGACAUGAGAGAGAUGAAAUGGUCAAUGGAAAGAACAAAAGGAGAAAAAGACAAAAGGAUCAUGGGACAACAGUCUGCGAAUCACCAACUCAGAAAAGAGCCAGAAAAGCAUAUCUGAAGAAAAAGUGCUUCAAACUCACCAAACGGCUCCUGGACAAACUCUAUUUUAUUAAUGACCAAGACAAACUGGAGGAACUUUCUGGAAAACUCAAUAACUUGUUGGAAGACCUCACACCAUUCAGCAACAGCGAGAAUGAGAGCCCGCUGCAAAUGGAAGCAAAAAGAGCAAGCGCUUUUACGACUUCAACACGGACACAAAAUACAAUUCAGAGGUUAAAAUCCAAAUACACAGAAAGAAUAGGGACGAAAGUAUGCAGGAAGUCAAUGACCCAAGUCCCCGCUUGGCCCGUGCAUACUGUAACUAAUACGUUGUGAUGAUCGAUUAGUAAACUACUGAAGUGCAUUGUACCAUUAUAUUACAUAUUUCUGUGUAUUGUAAAUAUUGAACUCAUAAACUUUAUGAUGACAACUACAGUCGCUGUCUUAGAAAAUUAUUAUUAAUUAUUGUGGUCUUUUAGGGCAUUUUAUUAUGUACUAUAAUCUCAAAAUUGUUACUUUGAAAGACUCAGAGGUAUGUGUAUAGAGCACGUAUUUUUAACUGUUAUGUAUUUAUUUUAUACACAAUCCACAGACUUGUACUUAAGAGGUCAUUUUCAAAGCAUUUCCAAAGCUCAUGGGCAAAAUGAGGAGCAUGUGCUUGGAUAGCAGCAGCAGGCAGUUAUUGUGCGCUGUUUACUUAUGACUCAUUUAUAUAUCAGAUUUGACAGCAUAAAUGGUCAAUUAGAGGCACCGUGCCUACAUAAAGCUAUAUUUUAUUUUCCAGCUUGCACUUGCUAUUUAGCACCUGUUUUGAUAAAUUAUGUCCUUGGAGUUAUUUGAGCACACAGUGCAGAGCCGUCAUUAUACUAUCCUCUGGUAUACAGUAAGAGGUAUAAUUUACAUUUGUUUGCACCGUGUGCUUUAGCAGUGCAUUACAUCUAACAGUACAGUGCUAUUUUGUAUCAUGUUAAUAACACAUUUAAGUGUGUCUAUUGGAAUACUGCUUAAAUGUGUUUUUAAAAAGCAC